AUUGAACGCUGGCGGCAGGCCUAACACAUGCAAGUCGAGCGAGCGGCGGACGGGUGAGUAAUGUCUGGGAAACUGCCUGAUGGAGGGGGAUAACUACUGGAAACGGUAGCUAAUACCGCAUACCAUCAGAUGUACCCAUAUGGGAUUAGCUAGUAGGGGGGGUAAUGGCUAACCUAGGCGACGAUCCCGAGCUGGCCUGAGAGGAGGACCAGCCACACUGGAACUGAGACACGGUUCAGACUCCUACGGUAGGCAGCGGGGGGGAAUUUUGCACAAUGGGCGCAAGCCUGAUGCAGCCAUGCCGCGUGUAUGAAGAAGUCCUUCGGGUUGUAAAGUACUUUAAGCGUGGAGGCGUUACCCGCAGAAGAAGCACCGGCUAACUCCGUGCCAGCAGCCGCGGUAAUUC
rnacentral:rRNA from 1 species